GAUGAAGAACGUAGCGAAAUGCGAUACUUGGUGUGAAUUGCAGAAUCCCGUGAACCAUCGAGUCUUUGAACGCAAGUUGCGCCCGAAGCCAUUAGGCCGAGGGCACGCCUGCCUGGGCGUCACACGUCGUUGCCCCCCCAUCUACUCCUUCGGGAUUGCGGGGGGCGGAUGAUGGCCUCCCGUGCGCCUCGUCGCGCGGUUGGCAUAAAUGCCAAGUCCUCGGCGACGCACGCCACGACAAUCGGUGGUUGCGAAACCUCGGUUGCCCGUCAUGUGCGGUCGUCGCGCAUCGAGGGCUCGAAAAAAUUGCCGGGCUCCGGCUCGGCUUUCAACGCGACCCCAGGUCAGGCGGGGUUACCCGCUGAAUUUAAGCAUAUCAAUAAGCGGAGGA
rnacentral:misc_RNA from 1 species